AGCUCGACCGGGUCGACGGCGCGGCUGGUGAGCAGGUAGUCACGCAUGACGAUGCCGUGCCGGCCCUC
rfam:Streptomyces bingchenggensis BCW-1, complete genome.